CCUACGGGGUGCACCAGUGGGGAAUAUUGCACAAUGGGCGCAAGCCUGAUGCAGCCAUGCCGCGUGUAUGAAGAAGGCCUUCGGGUUGUAAAGUACUUUCAGCGGGGAGGAAGGUGUUGUGGUUAAUAACCACAGCAAUUGGCGUUACCCGCAGAAGAAGCACCGGCUAACUCCGUGCCAGCAGCCGCGGUAAUACGGAGGGUGCAAGCGUUAAUCGGAAUUACUGGGCGUAAAGCGCACGCAGGCGGUCUGUCAAGUCGGAUGCGAAAUCCCCGGGCUCAACCUGGGAACUGCAUUCGAAACUGGCAGGCUAGAGUCUUGUAGAGGGGGGUAGAAUUCCAGGUGUAGCGGUGAGAUGCGUAGAGAUUUGGAGGAAUACCGGUGGCGAAGGCGGCCCCCUGGACAAAGACUGACGCUCAGGUGCGAAAGCGUGGGGAGCAAACAGGAUUAGAUACCCCUGUAGUC
rnacentral:rRNA from 1 species